rnacentral:rRNA from 1 species
ACUCCUACGGGAGGCAGCAGUAGGGAAUAUUGGUCAAUGGAUGCAAGUCUGAACCAGCCAUGCCGCGUGCAGGAAGAAGGCGUUAUGCGUUGUAAACUGCUUUUGCCAGGGGCUAAAAAGCCCAUGCGUGGGAAAUUGAAAGUACCUGGUGAAUAAGCCACGGCUAACUACGUGCCAGCAGCCGCGGUAAU